UUGGGGAUAUUGCACAAUGGGCGAAAGCCUGAUGCAGCAACGCCGCGUGAGGGAAGACGGUUUUCGGAUUGUAAACCUCUGUCUUCGGUGAAGAAACAAAUGACGGUAGCCGAGGAGGAAGCCACGGCUAACUACGUGCCAGCAGACGCGGUAAUACGUAGGUGGCCAGCGUUGUCCGGAAUUACUGGGUGUAAAGGGAGCGCAGGCGGGGAGACAAGUCAGCUGUGAAAACUAUGGGCUUAACCCAUAAACUGCAGUUGAAACUGUUUUUCGUGAGUGGAGUAGAGGUAGGCGGAAUUCCGAGUGUAGCGGUGAAAUGCGUAGAUAUUCGGAGGAACACCAGUGGCGAAGGCGGCCUACUGGGCUCUAACUGACGCUGAGGCUCGAAAGUGUGGGGAGCAAACA
rnacentral:rRNA from 1 species